UUGGUGAACCAAAACUAAACCCAAACAGUAGAAGCUAUUAAGCUAAUGGCGGAGCCCGGCCAAAUGCCCAUAUACCCCCAACAAAUCCAAAUGCCACCCACCUUCAUACCCAUACCAGCCUCCCAACCCGCGCACCCGCCCUCCAUGAAGCGCCGCCGCGACGACGAUUUUCCGCCGAUGCAAAUCGGGCCGGAACCCCUGGACCCAGCCCCAAAGCGCCGGGCCAAGGCCCAAGACGUCAUCUUCCGAGUCGUGGUCCCGUCCAGACAGAUCGGCAAGGUCAUCGGCAAAGAAGGCUGCCGAAUCCAGAAGAUUCGUGAAGACUCCAAGGCCACCAUCAAAAUCGCCGACGCCAUAGCUAGGCACGAGGAGCGUGUGAUUAUAAUAAGCUCAAAGGAUGGUGAUGAAGAUACUACUGAUGCCGAGAAUGCCCUGCAGCAAAUAGCUGGCUUAAUUCUCAAGGAUGAUGAGAAUAGUGCUGAUGCGGCAAAAGUUGGUGCGGGACAUGUGGCUGCGAAUACGAUAAGACUUUUGAUUGCUGGUUCCCAAGCAGGUUCUUUAAUUGGGAUGUCUGGUCAGAAUAUUGAGAAAUUGAGGAACUCCUCUGGGGCCACAAUCACAAUCCUUGCUCCAAGCCAGUUGCCUUUGUGUGCGUCUGCCCAUGAAUCUGAUCGAGUGGUACAGAUAUCAGGUGAUGUCCCUGCUGUUCAGAAAGGUCUGGAAGAGAUUGGUUGUCAACUAAGAGAAAACCCCCCUCGGCAAGUGAUUUCUAUCAGUCCCGCUUAUAACUAUACAGCUAUUAGGCCACCUCAAGUUCAACCAUACAUGGACCCAACUUCAGCUGAAUAUAUUACUUUCGAGAUGUUGAUAUCGGAAACAAUGGUUGGUGGGUUGAUUGGUAGAUGCGGCUCCAACAUUUCAAGGAUCAGAAAUGAGUCUGGCGCAAUGAUCAAGGUUUAUGGUGGGAAAGGUGAACAAAAGCAUAGGCAAAUUCAGUUUUGUGGUAAUCCUCAGCAGGUGGCAUUGGCAAAGCAGCGGGUUGAUGAGUACAUCUACUCCCAGUUGAUACAACAAGCAGGUGCUCAACAGACAGCGUAAUCUUCCUGCAUUAAUGCUGUCCGACUUGGUUUGUUACUUGUCCUGGCAUGUAACAUGAUUUAAGAAGAGUAAUCUCGGUUUUUUAUCCUCACAAGUUGAUUUUCCAAAAGCAAGUAUCUUACAACAUGUGUACUUGUAGAACUAACAACUGUAACAGUAAAGGUGAAGCGGAGUAUUCAGAUUUUGUACCACCGUUUCGGCAUUCAGCACCAUAGAAAAUUCAGACCACUUUAACUGUUGACUUUAGUGCUUCAUUAGUGUAUUUAUAAAUGUGAGCAUUGCAGUUGAUGUGCCGGGGUCUUUUGAAAUUUGGCUAUAUACUGCAAUUGUUUGUAACGGUUGUGUUUGGACUUUGGAAGGUAAUUGGAGAUAGUGAAGGUUUACAUGCACAAUCCAGAGAAUUAUCCGCAACUUCAUAAGGCUUUUGAGAUA